rnacentral:rRNA from 1 species
UACGUAGGGGGCAAGCGUUGUCCGGAAUUAUUGGGCGUAAAGCGCGUGUAGGCGGUCCGAUAAGUCUGCUGUAAAAGUCAAGGGCUUAACCCUUGAAAGCCGGUGGAUACUGUCGGGCUAGAGUACGGAAGAGGCGAGUGGAAUUCCUGGUGUAGCGGUGAAAUGCGCAGAUAUCAGGAGGAACACCAAUUGCGAAGGCAGCUCGCUGGGACGUAACUGACGCUGAGACGCGAAAGCGUGGGGAGCAAACAGG